rnacentral:rRNA from 1 species
GAUGAACGCUGGCGGCGUGCCUAAUACAUGCAAGUCGAACGAAACUUCUUUAUCACCGAGUGCUUGCACUCACCGAUAAAGAGUUGAGUGGCGAACGGGUGAGUAACACGUGGGCAACCUGCCCAAAAGAGGGGGAUAACACUUGGAAACAGGUGCUAAUACCGCAUAACCAUAGUUACCGCAUGGUAACUAUGUAAAAGGUGGCUAUACUACCGCUUUUGGAUGGGCCCGCGGCGCAUUAGCUAGUUGGUAGGGUAAAGGCUUACCAAGGCAAUGAUGCGUAGCCGAAUUGAGAGGUUGAUCGGCCACAUUGGGACUGAGACACGGCCCAAACUCCUACUGGAGGCAGCAGUAGGGAAUCUUCCACAAUGGGCGAAAGCCUGAUGGAGCAACGCCGCGUGGGUGAAGAAGGUCUUCGGAUCGUAAAACCCUGUUGUUAGAGAAGAAAGUGCGUGAGAGUAACUGUUCACGUUUCGACGGUAUCUAACCAGAAAGCCACGGCUAACUACGUG